UUUAAAUGGCCGCAGUACCUUGACUGUGCUAAGGUAGCAUAAUCAAUUGGCUUCUAAUUAAAGUCUGGAAUGAAAGGAAAAAUGAGGUAGUUCUGUCUUAAGGAAUUUUUUUUGAAUUUAUUUAAAUGAUGAAAAUAUCAUUUUUUAGAAAAAAGACGAGAAGACCCUUAGAGUUUUCAAUUUUUUUUUGUUGGGGCGACAAGUAAACAAUUAAACUUUACUAGUGUAAUAAAUCGAUUUUUUAUAAGAAUAAUUAAACUACCUUAGGGAUAACAGCAUUAUAUAUUUUUUAUGAUUGUGACCUC
rnacentral:rRNA from 1 species